rnacentral:misc_RNA from 1 species
GUUUCGUGGAGUUGUGAUGCUUUUGAUUGCCUGCAAUUCAACAAUUACUUCACUGGCUAACAAUUUCCAACAUGCUUGCCAACGCCUCCUAACAACACAGUUCCAACAGUAUCUCGAAGAAAUUGAACUAGUAUUAAGCAAUGUGAAUAAUUACCCCGAAACUAACAUUUAACUCAUCUAUUUAAUCAUGUGGGAAAUCC